rnacentral:rRNA from 1 species
UGCAAGUCGAGCGGUAAGGUCCCUUCGGGGAUACACGAGCGGCGGGCGGCUGAGUAACACGUAGGAACGUACCCCAAAGUGAGGGAUAAGCACCAGAAAUGGUGUCUAAUACCGCAUGUGCUCUAAGGAGUAAAGCUUCGGCGCUUUGGGAACGGCCUGCGUCCGAUUAGCUAGUUGGUGAGGUAAAAGCUCACCAAGGCGACGAUCGGUAGCUGGUCUGAGAGGAUGAUCAGCCAGACUGGGACUGAGACACGGCCCAGACUCCUACGGGAGGCAGCAGUAGGGAAUUUUCCACAAUGGGCGAAAGCCUGAUGGAGCAACGUCGCGUGCAGGAUGAAUGCCUUAGGGUUGUAAACUGCUUUUAUAUGUGACGAUAAUGACGGUAGCAUAUGAAUAAGGAUCGGCUAACUCCGUGCCAGCAGCCGCGGUCAUACGGAGGAUCCAAGCGUUAUCCGGAAUUACUGGGCGUAAAGAGUUGCGUAGGUGGCAUGGUAAGUAGAUAGUGAAAGAGUGUGGCUCAACCAUAUACACAUUAUCUAAACUGCCAAGCUAGAGGAUGAGAGAAGGUUAUUGGAAUUCCCAGUGUAGGAGUGAAAUCCGUAGAUAUUGGGAGGAACACCGAUGGCGUAGGCAGAUAACUGGCUCAUUCCUGACACUAAGGCACGAAAGCGUGGGGAGCAAACGGGAUUAGAUACCCCGGUAGUCCACGCCGUAAACUAUGGAUGCUAGCUGUU